GUACCUUCAAGCUCUGCUUGGUGUUGGGUGUUUGUCCCGCGUUUUGCGUGGACUCGCCUCAAAGCAAUUGGCAGCCGGCGUACUAGCCUGGGAGCGCAGCACAUUUUGCGCAUCUCGUCUUGAACGCUUGCGUCCAUUAAGCCUAUACUUUAACUC
rnacentral:misc_RNA from 1 species